rnacentral:rRNA from 1 species
AUCGAUGGGAGCUUGCUCCCUGAGAUUAGCGGCGGACGGGUGAGUAACACGUGGGCAACCUGCCUAUAAGACUGGGAUAACUUCGGGAAACCGGAGCUAAUACCGGAUACGUUCUUUUCUCGCAUGAGGGAAGAUGGAAAGACGGUUUACGCUGUCACUUAUAGAUGGGCCCGCGGCGCAUUAGCUAGUUGGUGAGGUAAUGGCUCACCAAGGCGACGAUGCGUAGCCGACCUGAGAGGGUGAUCGGCCAAACUGGGACUGAGACACGGCCCAGACUCCUACGGGAGGCAGCAGUAGGGAAUCUUCCGCAAUGGACGAAAGUCUGACGGAGCAACGCCGCGUGAACGAAGAAGGCCUUCGGGUCGUAAAGUUCUGUUGUUAGGGAAGAACAAGUACCAGAGUAACUGCUGGUACCUUGACGGUACCUAACCAGAAAGCCACGGCUAACUACGUGCCAGCAGCCGCGGUAAUACGUAGGUGGCAAGCGUUGUCCGGAAUUAUUGGGCGUAAAGCGCGCGCAGGUGGUUCCUUAAGUCUGAUGUGAAAGCCCACGGCUCAACCGUGGAGGGUCAUUGGAAACUGGGGAACUUGAGUGCAGAAGAGGAAAGUGGAAUUCCAAGUGUAGCGGUGAAAUGCGUAGAGAUUUGGAGGAACACCAGUGGCGAAGGCGACUUUCUGGUCUGUAACUGACACUGAGGCGCGAAAGCGUGGGGAGCAAACAGGAUUAGAUACC